rnacentral:rRNA from 1 species
GGGUGCGAUUAUACCAGCACUAAUGCAUCGGAUCCCAUCAGAACUCCGAAGUUAAACGUGCUUGGGCGGGGGUAGUACUAAGAUGGGUGACCUCUUGGGAAGUCCUCGUGUUGCACCCC